rnacentral:tRNA from 1 species
GCUCCGGUAGUAUAGCCCGGCCAAGUAUUCCGGCCUUUCGGCUGUGGAUGGAGGAGAGCCGGAGACCCGGGUUCAAAUCCCGGCCGGAGCA